GAUCGGCCCGCGUCUGAUUAGCUUGUUGGUGAGGUAAUGGCUCACCAAGGCGACGAUCAGUAGCUGGUCUGAGAGGAUGAUCAGCCACACUGGGACUGAGACACGGCCCAGACUCCUACGGGAGGCAGCAGUGAGGAAUAUUGGACAAUGGGGGAAACCCUGAUCCAGCCAUGCCGCGUGAGUGAAGAAGGCCUUCGGGUUGUAAAGCUCUUUCAGAUGCGAAGAUAAUGACGGUACCAUCAGAAGAAGCCCCGGCUAAAUUCGUGCCAGCAGCCGCGGUAAUACGAAUGGGGCAAGCGUUGUUCGGAAUCACUGGGCUUAAAGCGUGCGUAGGCGGAUUUGUAAGUCAGAAGUGAAAUCCCCGGGCUUAACCCGGGAAUUGCUUUUGAGACUGCAAAUCUAGAAUCCAGGAGAGGUUAGCACAAUUCCCAGUGUAAAGGUGAAAUUCCCAGAUAUUGGGAGGAAUACCAGUGGCGUACGCAGCUAACUGGACUGGUUUUGACGCUGAGGUACGAAAGCGUGGGUAGCAAACAGGAUUAGAUUCCCUGGUAGUCCACGCUGUAAACGAUGUGUGCUAGUUGUCCGGCCCCUUAGGGCUCGGUGACGGGAAAGAAAUCAUUUAACCACCCCGGCUGGGGGA
rnacentral:rRNA from 1 species